rnacentral:rRNA from 1 species
AGUGAACGCUGGCGGUAGGCCUAACACAUGCAAGUCGAACGGCAGCACAUUAAGAGCUUGCUCUUACGGGUGGCGAGUGGCGGACGGGUGAGGCAUACAUCGGAAUCUACUUUUUCGUGGGGGAUAACGUAGGGAAACUUACGCUACUACCUCAUACGACCUACGAGUGAAAGCAGGUGUUCUUCGUACCUUUCGCGCUUUAAUGAGCCGAUGUCGGAUUAGCUAGUUGGCGGGGGAAAGGCCCACCAAGGCGACGAUCCGUAGCUGGUCUGAGAGGAUGAUCAGCCACACUGGAACUGAGACACGGUCCAGACUCCUACGGGAGGCAGCAGUGGGGAAUAUUGGACAAUGGGCGCAAGCCUGAUGCAGACAUACCGCGUGGGUGAAGAAGGCCUUCGGGUGGUAAAGCCCUUUUGUUGGGAAAGAAAAGCAGCAGGUUAAUACCCCGAUGUUCUGACGGUACCCAAAGAAUAAGCACCGGCUAACUUCGUG